rnacentral:rRNA from 1 species
UUUAGAUGGCGACCGGCGCACGGGUGAGUAACACGUAUCCAACCUGCCGAUGACUCGGGGAUAGCCUUUCGAAAGAAAGAUUAAUACCCGAUGGCAUAGUUCUUCCGCAUGGUGGAACUAUUAAAGAAUUUCGGUCAUCGAUGGGGAUGCGUUCCAUUAGGUUGUUGGCGGGGUAACGGGCCCACCAAGCCUUCGAUGGAUAGGGGUUCUGAGAGGAAGGUCCCCCACAUUGGAACUGAGACACGGUCCAAACUCCUACGGGAGGCAGCAUG